UACGUAGGGUGCAAGCGUUAAUCGGAAUUACUGGGCGUAAAGCGUGCGCAGGCGGUUUUGUAAGUCUGUCGUGAAAUCCCCGGGCUCAACCUGGGAACUGCAUUUGUGACUGCAAGGCUGGAGUACGGUAGAGGGGGAUGGAAUUCCGCGUGUAGCAGUGAAAUGCGUAGAUAUGCGGAGGAACACCGAUGGCGAAGGCAAUCCCCUGGACCUGUACUGACGCUCAUGCACGAAAGCGUGGGGAGCAAACAGG
rnacentral:rRNA from 1 species